rnacentral:rRNA from 1 species
UGAGGAAUAUUGGACAAUGGGUGAAAACCUGAUCCAGCCAUGCCGCGUGCAGGAAGACGGCCCCAUGGGUUGUAAACUGCUUUUGUAUGGGAGCAAUAAGCUCUACGUGUAGAGUGAUGAGAGUACCAUACGAAUAAGCAUCGGCUAACUCCGUGCCAGCAGCCGCGGUAAUACGGAGGAUGCGAGCGUUAUCCGGAUUUACUGGGCGUAAAGGGUGAGUAGGUGGUAACUUAUGUCAGGUGUGAAAUGUCAAAGCUCAACUUUGUCACGCACUUGAAACUGAGAUACUUGAGUGCAGGAGAGGUAAGCGGAAUUCCUAGUGUAGCGGUGAAAUGCGUAGAUAUUAGGAGGAACACCAGUGGCGAAGGCGGCUUACUGGACUGUAACUGACGCUGAUGCUCGAAAGUGUGGGUAUCAAACA